rnacentral:rRNA from 1 species
UACGUAGGGUGCGAGCGUUAAUCGGAAUUACUGGGCGUAAAGGGCGCGUAGGCGGCCUGCUAAGUCGAACGUGAAAUCCCCGGGCUCAACCCGGGAACUGCGUCCGAUACUGGUGGGCUUGAAUCCGGGAGAGGGAUGUGGAAUUCCAGGUGUAGCGGUGAAAUGCGUAGAUAUCUGGAGGAACACCGGUGGCGAAGGCGGCAUCCUGGACCGGUAUUGACGCUGAGGCGCGAAAGCUAGGGGAGCAAACGGG